AUUGAACGCUGGCGGCAGGCCUAACACAUGCAAGUCGAGCGAGCGGCGGACGGGGGAGUAAUGUGUGGGAAGCUGCCUGAGGGAGGGGGAUAACAACUGGAAAAGGUAUCUAAUACCGCAUACCAUCAGAUGUGAACCAAUAGGAUUAGCUCGUAGGUGGGGUAACGGCUCCCCUAGGCGACGAUACCUAGCUGGUCUGAGAGGAUGACCAGCCACACUGGAACUGAGCCACGGCCCAGACUCCUCCGGGAGGCAGCAGUGGGGAAUAUUGCACAAUGGGCGCAAGCCUGAUGCAGCCAUGCCGCGUGUGUGAAGAAGGCCUUCGGGUUGUAAAGUACUUUCAGCGGGGAGGCGUUACCCGCAGAAGAAGCACCGGCUAACUCCGUGCCAGCCGCCGCGGUAAUAC
rnacentral:rRNA from 1 species